rnacentral:rRNA from 1 species
AGAGUUUGAUCCUGGCUCAGGACGAACGCUGGCGGCGUGCUUAACACAUGCAAGUCGAGCGGUAAGGCCCUUUCGGGGGUACACGAGCGGCGAACGGGUGAGUAACACGUGGGUGACCUGCCCUCCACUCUGGGAUAAGCCCGGGAAACUGGGUCUAAUACCGGAUAGGACCACUGAUCGCAUGGUUGGUGGUGGAAAGUUUUUUCGGUGGGGGAUGGGCCCGCGGCCUAUCAGCUUGUUGGUGGGGUGAUGGCCUACCAAGGCGGUGACGGGUAGCCGGCCUGAGAGGGCGACCGGCCACACUGGGACUGAGACACGGCCCAGACUCCUACGGGAGGCAGCAGUGGGGAAUAUUGCGCAAUGGGCGGAAGCCUGACGCAGCGACGCCGCGUGGGGGAUGACGGCCUUCGGGUUGUAAACCUCUUUCGCCAGGGACGAAGAGCAAUUGACGGUACCUGGAGAAGAAGCACCGGCCAACUACGUGCCAGCAGCCGCGGUAACACGUAGGGUGCGAGCGUUGUCCGGAAUUAUUGGGCGUAAAGAGCUCGUAGGCGGUGUGUCGCGUCGGCCGUGAAAACUUGGGGCUUAACUCUGAGCGUGCGGUCGAUACGGGCAUCACUUGAGUCCGGCAGGGGAGACUGGAAUUCCUGGUGUAGCGGUGAAAUGCGCAGAUAUCAGGAGGAACACCGGUGGCGAAGGCGGGUCUCUGGGCAGUAACUGACGCUGAGGAGCGAAAGCGUGGGGAGCGAACAGGAUUAGAUACCCUGGUAGUCC